CGCAUCUGUGCAUGCAGCAUAUCAAUAAGCGGAGGAAAAGAAACUAACAAGGAUUCCCUUAGUAACGGCGAGUGAAGCGGGAAGAGCUCAAAUUUGAAAUCUUCAAGGUUUUACCUUGACGAAUUGUAGUUUAAAGAAGUGUUUUCUGUUGAAGUUUUGGUAAAAGUUCUUUGGAAUAGGACAUCAUAGAGGGUGAGAAUCCCGUAUUUGACCAUUAUUUUCAGCUGUGUGAUACACUUUCAAAGAGUCGGAUUGUUUGGGAAUGCAGUCCAAAAUGGGUGGUAAAUUUCAUCUAAAGCUAAAUAUUGGCGAGAGACCGAUAGCGAACAAGUACCGUGAGGGAAAGAUGAAAAGAACUUUGAAAAGAGAGUUAAACAGUACGUGAAAUUGUCAAAAGGGAAGCGUUUGACACCAGUGUUGUUUUCUCGAAAAUCAAUUAAAAAGAGUUUGAUUUUGUUGUGUAUUGACCUUAACAGCUUGCAUUUCAAUUUUCUUGCUUUUUUUAAUGCACUUUUCGUUUAACAAGUCAACAUCAGUUUCUUUUGUUGUAAAAAGGUCAUUGGAAGGUGGCUUUCUUUUCGGAGAAAGUGUUUAUAGCCUUUGACUCCUGCAAUCGGAGAGACUGAGGUCUGCAGCGUAGAUCCUUCGGGGUUAGAUACAUUUGUGCUAAGUUAUAGCUUUUUAUAGACAACUUGUUGACUAUGAUUUAGUCUUGUAGCUUACUCCGCUUAUGCUAUUUUACCUACGCUUAGGAUGUUGACGCGCGUGUGUGCGUG
rnacentral:rRNA from 1 species